ACACUUACCUGGCAGGGAAGAUGCCAUAAUCACGAAGGUGGUUUUCCCAGGGCGAGGCUUAUGCAUUGCACUCCGAAUGUACUGACCUCUUCGAUUUCCCCAAAUAUGGGGCUGCAUAAUUCGUGGUAGUGGGGGACUGCGUUCUUGAUUUCCCCUG